UUCAAUCCUAAAAAGACAGUUCUAAAGACAGGUCAAUCCGAAAAAGACAGUUCUAAAGACAGUUAAAUCCGAAAAAGACAGUUCUAAAGACAGUUAAAUCCGAAAAAGACAGUUCUAAAGGCAGGUCAAUCCUAAAAAGACAGUUCUAAAGACAGGUCAAUCCUAAAAAGACUGUCCUAGAGACAGUUCAAUCCUAAAAAGACAGUUCUAAAGGCAGGUCAAUCCUAAAAAGACAGUUCUAAAGACAGGUCAAUCCUAAAAAGACUGUCCUAGAGACAGUUCAAUCCUAAAAAGACAGUUCUAAAGGCAGGUCAAUCCUAAAAAGACAGUUCUAAAGACAGGUCAAUCCUAAAAAGACUGUCCUAGAGACAGUUCAAUCCUAAAAAGACAGUUCUAAAGACAGGUCAAUCCAAAAAAGACAGUUCUAAAGACAGGUCAAUCCUAAAAAGACAGUUCUAAAGACAGGUCAAUCCUAAAAAGAGAGUUCUACAGACAGUUCAAUUCUAAAAAGACAGUUCUAAAGGCAGGUCAAUCCAAAAAAGACAGUUCUAAAGACAGUUAAAUCCGAAAAAGACAGUUCUAAAGACAGUUAAAUCCAAAAAAGACAGUUCUAAAGGCAGGUCAAUCCAAAAAAGACAGUUCUAAAGACAGUUCAAUCCGAAAAAGACAGUUCUAAAGACAGGUCAAUCCGAAAAAGACAGUUCUAAAGCUUCCUCACUCAUAUAUCAGCCCUAACUCCCAUCUGCCCCCUAGUGGCCAAACACUGUGCCCCAAACUGUUAACUGCAGUUUCAAUUCCCCACACAAAACAGAUGUCUUACCUACACUACCUUCCCCAACUAUACCCAACCUCCCUCCCCCCACUUCCCUUCUUUAAGCAGUCUGUCCCAGGCUGAUAUAGUGAUCCUGACAGAGAUCUUAAUUGAAUACUCAAGAGCCUUUAACUUGUAUAUGCAAUUAACUGUGUUGCAACGCUUCCGUCAAAUCCUAUGUUGCUGCUUCAGUUAGGGCAAAGGGUGUUAAAGAAGUCUAACUAAUCCUGUAUGGGACAGAGCCAGUCUAAAAUCCUUGCUCACUACAAGAUGUAAAUUGAUUUCCUAAGAAGCUGACUUAGAGUGGCAAAGCUGAGCCUCGGCCUGCAAAGAGACCUGCAGUCUUCACCUGAGAAACUGAGGCUGCAACUUUGCUAAAAUGUGAUGCGUGCACCAUCCUUGCAAUACUGCAAUAGACAAAGCUUUGCAAAAUGCACCAACGACUUUGAACGAUCUGCCUUGGCCAGAGUGUUCAUUGGUGUGCCUGGGUAGUACUGUGGCGGAGAUUGUGUGUGCUGUAUGUAUGUGUUUCAUUUUUUGAUCUGUCAGAAGAGAGUCGGGCAUUUUGGGUAAUGAAGAAUUGGGAAAGACUGAGGCGCACUGGAACGAUGACAUGUCUGCAGUCACUUCCACAUUUCAGGCUAUCGAUGGCUUUCUUUUUUUUUACUUGAAAGGUCAUGUUCAUAAUUUAAGAUGUCGUUUAUGUUGAAAUACAAGCUUUAUCAUCUUUAAAGAAA